rnacentral:rRNA from 1 species
AUUGAACGCUGGCGGCAUGCUUUACACAUGCAAGUCGAACGGUAACAGGGUGCUUGCACCGCUGACGAGUGGCGAACGGGUGAGUAAUGCGUCGGAACGUGCCGAGUAGUGGGGGAUAACGCAGCGAAAGUUGUGCUAAUACCGCAUACGUACUGAGGUAGAAAGUGGGGGACCUUCGGGCCUCACGCUAUUCGAGCGGCCGACGUCUGAUUAGCUAGUAGGUGAGGUAAAGGCUCACCUAGGCGACGAUCAGUAGCGGGUCUGAGAGGAUGAUCCGCCACACUGGGACUGGGACACGGCCCAGACUCCUACGGGAGGCAACAGUGGGGAAUUUUGGACAAUGGGCGAAAGCCUGAUCCAGCCAUGCCGCGUGUCUGAAGAAGGCCUUCGGGUUGUAAAGGACUUUUGUCAGGGAGGAAAUCCCUAGUGCUAAUAACACUGGGGGAUGACAGUACCUGAAGAAUAAGCACCGGCUAACUACGUGCCAGCCGCCGCGGUAA